rnacentral:rRNA from 1 species
CUACGGGCUGCUGCAGUGAGGAAUAUUGCACAAUGGGGGGAACCCUGAUGCAGCAACGCCGCGUGGAGGAUGACGCAUUUCGGUGUGUAAACUCCUUUUAUAUGUCAAGAAAAUGACGGUAGCAUAUGAAUAAGCACCGGCUAACUCCGUGCCAGCAGCCGCGGUAAUACGGGGGUGCAAGCGUUACUCGGAAUCACUGGGCGUAAAGGACGCGUAGGCGGGUUGGAAAGUCAGGUGUGAAAUCCUACAGCUUAACUGUAGAACUGCACUUGAAACUUCUAAUCUAGAGUAUGGGAGGGGGAGAUGGAAUUAGUGGUGUAGGGGUAAAAUCCGUAGAUAUCACUAGGAAUACCUAAAGCGAAGGCGAUCUCCUGGAACAUUACUGACGCUAAGGCGUGAAAGCGUGGGGAGCAAACAGUAUUAGAUACCCCUGUAGUC